AUUGCUUCUGUGCCUUUUGGCUAAGAUCAAGUGUAGAAAAAUACAAAAAAGUAGGAAACAAAUUUACAUACAUUAUUUAAAUUAAUUAAAAUAGGAAAUAAAAAAGGCUGGGGCUUUAACUUCGUGGUUCUGCCCUGCCUGCCUCACAAGUGCAAGGACCCGUGUUC
rnacentral:snRNA from 1 species